rnacentral:lncRNA from 10 species
CCAUGACUGCUCCCAGGCUGGGCCCGCUGCUCUCAGUGCAGUGGCCUUCCUCUCCAUUCUGGGCUGAAGCCGUCCCUACCAGGUUGACAAGAAUUGCAUGCAGGGUUCUGGACAGGAAUAUAAUAAGUAUUAAUCAGGCCGCUCUUUGGCGCACUUCCUUUUUGCCGAAAAUCAUGUGGCACUAGAUCCUGACCAUUUGCAUCCCCCAUUGUUCUAUAGAUAGAAUCUCUGACAUUAGAAUCAUAAGGCUUUGGCUUAAGGAUCACUUAAGAUAUUUUUCAGACCCGGAAUUCCAGCAACCAGUUUGACAACUCCUACAGAGAAACAGGAUCCACAUAAGGAUACAGCUUCUUCAUAUCCCUGUCCCAUGACUUCACCCUGCGUUCUUCAACCAAUCAAUGUGUCAGGCCUCUGAGCCCAGGCCUGCACGUAUACAUCCAGAUGGCAUGAAGUAACUGAGGAAUCACAAAAGAAGUGAAACUGGCCGGUUCCUGCCUUAACUGAUGACAUUACCUUGUGAAAUUCCUUCUCCUGGCUCAUCUGGGCUCAGAAGCUCCUCCACUGAGCACCUUGUGACCCCCCACCCCUGUCCGCCAGAGAGCAACCCCCUUUGACUGUAAUUUUCCACUACCUACCCAAAUCCUGUGAAAUGGCCCCACCCCAUCUCCCUUCACUGACUCUAUUUUCGGACUCCG